rnacentral:rRNA from 1 species
CCCCUAGAUGUUCUGGGCCGCACGCGCGCUACACUGAACAGUUCAACAAGUCUUAACCUUGGCCGAUAGGUCUGGGUAAUCUUUGAACGCUGUUCGUGAUUGGGAUAGACCUUUGCAAUUAUGGGUCUUCAACGAGGAAUUCCUAGUAAACGCAAGUCAUCAGCUUUCAUUGAUUACGUCCCUGCCCUUUGUACACACCGCCCGUCGCACCUACCGAUUGAAUGGUCCGGUGAAAUCUCGGGACGGCGGCUUGGUCGCUUGCGUCCGACUGCUGAAACUUGAUUAAACCAUAUCAUUUAGAGGAAGGUGAAGUCGUANCA